GGAGGUGUAGUUCAGUGGUAGAGCACUUGCCUAGCAUGCAUGAGGCUCUGGGUUUGAUCCCAAGCAUCAUCA
rfam:Ictidomys tridecemlineatus contig044418, whole genome shotgun sequence.